GACGAACCGUACGAACGUUAUUCGGAAUCACUGGGCUUAAAGAGUUCGUAGGCUGCUAUGCAGGUGAGAUGUGAAAUCCCUCGUCUCAACCGAGGAAUUGCGUUUCAAACCGCAUAGCUAGAGGAAGAUAGGGGUGAGCGGAACUGUUGGUGGAGCGGUGAAAUGCGUUGAUAUCAAUAGGAACACCAGAGGCGAAGGCGGCUCACUGGGUCUUUUCUGACGCUGAGGAACGAAAGCUAGGGGAGCAAACGGG
rnacentral:rRNA from 1 species